GACGAACGCUGGCGGCGUGCCUAAUACAUGCAAGUAGAACGCUGAAGGAGGAGCUUGCUUCUCUGGAUGAGUUGCGAACGGGUGAGUAACGCGUAGGUAACCUGCCUGGUAGCGGGGGAUAACUAUUGGAAACGAUAGCUAAUACCGCAUAAGAGUAGAUGUUGCAUGACAUUUGCUUAAAAGGUGCAAUUGCAUCACUACCAGAUGGACCUGCGUUGUAUUAGCUAGUUGGUGGGGUAACGGCUUACCAAGGCGACGAUACAUAGCCGACCUGAGAGGGUGAUCGGCCACACUGGGACUGAGACAGGGCCCAGACUCCUACGGGAGGCAGCAGUAGGGAAUCUUCGGCAAUGGACGGAAGUCUGACCGAGCAACGCCGCGUGAGUGAAGAAGGUUGUCGGAUCGGAAAGCUCUGUUGUAAGAGAAGAACGAGUGUGAGAGUGGAAAGUUCACACUGUGACGGUAUCUUACCAGAAAGGGACGGCUAACUACGUG
rnacentral:rRNA from 1 species